rfam:Triticum aestivum genome assembly, contig: Triticum_aestivum_CS42_TGACv1_scaffold_502401_6BL
GUUCUCUGCAACUCGGGAACAUGAAGUUGAAAUCGCUAGUAAUCGCGGAUCAGCAUGCCGCGGUGAAUAUGUACCCGGGCCCUGUACACACCGCCCGUCACACCCUGGGAAUUGGUUUCGCCCGAAGCAUCGGACCAAUGAUCACCCAUGACUUCUGUGUACCACUAGUGCCACAAAGGCCUUUGGUGGUCUUAUUGGCACAUACCAUGGUGGGGUCUUCGACUGGGGUGAAGUCGUAACAAGGUAGCCGUAGGGGAACCUGUGGCUGGAUUGAAUCCUUU